rnacentral:rRNA from 1 species
AGAGUUUGAUCCUGGCUCAGGAUGAACGCUGGCGGCGUGCCUAAUACAUGCAAGUCGAACGCUUCACUUCGGUGAAGAGUGGCGAACGGGUGAGUAAUACAUAAGUAACCUGGCAUCUACAGGGGGAUAACUGAUGGAAACGUCAGCUAAGACCGCAUAGGUGUAGAGAUCGCAUGAACUCUAUAUGAAAAGUGCUACGGGACUGGUAGAUGAUGGACUUAUGGCGCAUUAGCUGGUUGGUAGGGUAACGGCCUACCAAGGCGACGAUGCGUAGCCGACCUGAGAGGGUGACCGGCCACACUGGGACUGAGACACGGCCCAGACUCCUACGGGAGGCAGCAGUAGGGAAUUUUCGGCAAUGGGGGAAACCCUGACCGAGCAACGCCGCGUGAAGGAAGAAGUAAUUCGUUAUGUAAACUUCUGUCAUAGAGGAAGAACGGUGGAUAUAGGGAAUGAUAUCCAAGUGACGGUACUCUAUAAGAAAGCCACGGCUAACUACGUGCCAGCAGCCGCGGUAAUACGUAGGUGGCGAGCGUUAUCCGGAAUUAUUGGGCGUAAAGAGGGAGCAGGCGGCACUAAGGGUCUGUGGUGAAAGAUCGAAGCUUAACUUCGGUAAGCCAUGGAAACCGUAGAGCUAGAGUGUGUGAGAGGAUCGUGGAAUUCCAUGUGUAGCGGUGAAAUGCGUAGAUAUAUGGAGGAACACCAGUGGCGAAGGCGACGAUCUGGCGCAUAACUGACGCUCAGUCCCGAAAGCGUGGGGAGCAAAUAGGAUUAGAUACCCUAGUAGUCCACGCCGUAAACGAUGAGUACUAAGUGUUGGGAGUCAAAUCUCAGUGCUGCAGUUAACGCAAUAAGUACUCCGCCUGAGUAGUACGUUCGCAAGAAUGAAACUCAAAGGAAUUGACGGGGGCCCGCACAAGCGGUGGAGCAUGUGGUUUAAUUCGAAGCAACGCGAAGAACCUUACCAGGUCUUGACAUCCCGAUGACCGGCCCGUAACGGGGCCUUCUCUUCGGAGCAUUGGAGACAGGUGGUGCAUGGUUGUCGUCAGCUCGUGUCGUGAGAUGUUGGGUUAAGUCCCGCAACGAGCGCAACCCCUAUUGUUAGUUGCCAUCAUUCAGUUGGGCACUCUAGCGAGACUGCCGGUAAUAAACCGGAGGAAGGUGGGGAUGACGUCAAAUCAUCAUGCCCCUUAUGACCUGGGCUACACACGUGCUACAAUGGACAGAGCAGAGGGAAGCGAAGCCGCGAGGUGGAGCGAAACCCAUAAAACUGUUCUCAGUUCGGACUGCAGUCUGCAACUCGACUGCACGAAGAUGGAAUCGCUAGUAAUCGCGAAUCAGCAUGUCGCGGUGAAUACGUUCUCGGGCCUUGUACACACCGCCCGUCACACCAUGAGAGUCGGUAACACCCGAAGCCGGUGGCCUAACCGCAAGGAAGGAGCUGUCUAAGGUGGGACUGAUGAUUGGGGUGAAGUCGUAACAAGGUAUCCCUACGGGAACGUGGGGAUG